rnacentral:rRNA from 1 species
UACGUAGGGAGCGAGCGUUGUCCGGAAUUACUGGGUGUAAAGGGAGCGUAGGCGGGAUGGCAAGUUGGGUGUUAAACCUAUCGGCUCAACUGAUAGUCGCACUCAAAACUGCCGUUCUUGAGUGAAGUAGAGGCAGGCGGAAUUCCUAGUGUAGCGGUGAAAUGCGUAGAUAUUAGGAGGAACACCAGUGGCGAAGGCGGCCUGCUGGGCUUUUACUGACGCUGAGGCUCGAAAGUGUGGGGAGCAAACAG